GAUGAACGCUAGCGAUAGGCUUAACACAUGCAAGUCGAGGGGCAGCACAAGGUAGCUUGCUAUCUGGGUGGCGACCGGCGCACGGGUGCGUAACGCGUAUGCAACUUGCCCUAUACAGGAGGAUAACCCGUCGAAAGACGGACUAAUACUGCGUAUGCUCACAACUUGGCAUCAAGUGGUGAGGAAAGAAAUUCGGUAUAGGAUAGGCAUGCGUCCCAUUAGCUUGUUGGUGAGGUAACGGCUCACCAAGGCAACGAUGGGUAGGGGAACUGAGAGGUUUAUCCCCCACACUGGUACUGAGACACGGACCAGACUCCUACGGGAGGCAGCAGUGAGGAAUAGUGGUCAAUGGGCGCGAGCCUGAACCAGCCAAGUCGCGUGAAGGAUGACUGUCUUAUGGAUUGUAAACUUCUUUUAUACGGGAAUAACAAGAGUCACGUGUGACUCCCUGCAUGAACCGUAUGAAUAAGCAUCGGCUAACUCCGU
rnacentral:rRNA from 1 species